rnacentral:lncRNA from 1 species
UGAAUGAAGCAUACUCUGAAAGGCAUGAGAACAGGGAAAUGCAGAAGUUUCCUAUCUGAGAGUACAGGGGGAAUUAGGAUGAAAUUGCUUAUGUCAGAGCCAUCAGUAGUCUUUAAUUAUGAAUCUCAGAGAAGCAAAACAUCUCAGGUAUUCUUCAGGACUUAGAAUACUAAAAUUUUUAAAAAUAGAUACACUUCAAGUUUUAAAAGAUCAGAAAAAAAAAAUUUUUUUUCUGAUUUCCAUUACUUGUAAAACUAUAUUCUCAGGGACUAUCAUUUGGAAAAGUAAUCAUCUUUUCCUAUUGCUUAAGUUUAAACUAAGUCCCUGUGGUUUUGCAUUAAAUUUCAAUUAUUUAAAUAAACAACAGACUCAUUUCUCUCCUCGUGAAUGUAA